rnacentral:tRNA from 1 species
GCCUUCGUGGUGUAGUGGUCAGUACGCUGGGCGCGUAUUCCAGAGGUCCGUGGUUCGAGUCCCGGCGAAGGCG